rnacentral:rRNA from 1 species
UACAGAGACUGCAAGCGUUAUUCGGAUUCACUGGGCGUAAAGGGUGCGCAGGCGCCAUGUGUGUCAGGUGUGAAAGCCCGGAGCUUAACUCCGGAAUUGCGCCUGAAACUACAUGGCUAGAGCAUUGGAGAGGGUAGCGGAAUUCAUGGUGUAGCAGUGAAAUGCGUAGAUAUCAUGAGGAACACCAGAGGCGAAGGCGGCUACCUGGACAAUUGCUGACGCUCAGGCACGAAAGCGUGGGGAGCAAACAGG